rnacentral:rRNA from 1 species
CUGGGUUUGACAUACACCGGAAACCUGCAGAGAUGUAGGCCCCCUUGUGGUCGGUGUACAGGUGGUGCAUGGCUGUCGUCAGCUCGUGUCGUGAGAUGUUGGGUUAAGUCCCGCAACGAGCGCAACCCUUAUCUUAUGUUGCCAGCGCGUAAUGGUGGGGACUCGUGAGAGACUGCCGGGGUCAACUCGGAGGAAGGUGGGGACGACGUCAAGUCAUCAUGCCCCUUAUGUCCAGGGCUUCACACAUGCUACAAUGGCCGGUACAGAGGGCUGCGAUACCGCGAGGUGGAGCGAAUCCCUUAAAGCCGGUCUCAGUUCGGAUCGGGGUCUGCAACUCGACCCCGUGAAGUUGGAGUCGCUAGUAAUCGCAGAUCAGCAACGCUGCGGUGAAUACGUUCCC